rnacentral:rRNA from 1 species
UACGUAGGGUGCAAGCGUUGUCCGGAAUUAUUGGGCGUAAAGAGCUCGUAGGCGGUCAGUCGCGUCUGCUGUGAAAACUCGGGGCUUAACUCCGGGCCUGCAGUGGGUACGGGCUGACUAGAGUGCGGUAGGGGAGACUGGAAUUCUCGGUGUAGCGGUGAAAUGCGUAGAUAUCGAGAGGAACACCUGCGGCGAAGGCGGGUUGCUGGGCUGACACUGACGCUGAUGCGCGAAAGCCAGGGGAGCGAACGGG